AUCGCCGUAGCUCAGCGGAGCAGAGCGCCUGGCUACGAACCAGGAGGUCGCACGUUCGAAUCGUGCCGGCGAUG
rnacentral:tRNA from 1 species